rnacentral:rRNA from 1 species
UGCGUAGGUGGCCAUGUAAGUCAGGUGUGAAAGCCCCGGGCUCAACCCGGGAAGUGCAUUUGAUACUGCGUGGCUUGAGUACCGAAGAGGGUAGUGGAAUUCCAGGUGUAGUGGUGAAAUACGUAGAUAUCUGGAGGAACACCGGUGGCGAAGGCGGCUACCUGGUCGAGUACUGACAUUGAGACACGAAAGCAUGGGGAUCAAACAG